rnacentral:rRNA from 1 species
UGUGCAGGCGGGCGGACAAGUGGUGUAUGAAAUUGCCAGGCUUAACCUGGCGAGGUUAUGCCAGACUGUCUGUCUAGAGUGCGAGAGAGGGGCGUGGAAUUCCGGGUGUAGUGGUGAAAUGCGUAGAGAUCCGGAGGAACCCCAGAGGCGAAGGCGGCGCCCUGGCUCGCAACUGACGCUCAGCCACGACAGCAUGGGGAGCGAACGGGAUUAGAAACCCCGGUAGUCCAUGCCGUAAACGAUGCAAACUAGGCGCUGGCGGUCUCAACCCCGCCGGUGCCGCAGCUAACGCGCUAAGUUUGCCGCCUGGGGAGUACGGCCGCAAGGCUAAA